UAUUCCCCACUGCUGCCUCCCGUAGGAGUCUGGGCCGUGUCUCAGUCCCAAUGUGGCCGUCCGCCCUCUCAGGCCGGCUAUUGAUCGUCGCUUUGGUGGGCCGUUACCCCGCCAACUGGCUAAUCAAACGCGGAUCCAUCCUGUACCGAUAAAUCUUUUGCCUCAGGAGGAUGCCCUCCCGUGGUCUCAUGCGGUAUUACCAGCCGUUUCCAGCUGCUAUCCCCCAGUACAGUGCAGGUUCUCCACGCGUUACUCACCCGUCCGCCACUAUGUAAUGAAAUCUGUCCGAAAACUUCAAUCAUUACACCGUUCGACUUGCAUGUGUUAGGCACGCCGCCAGCGUUCAUCCUGAGCCAA
rnacentral:rRNA from 1 species